GUUUCCAUUUUGCUAGAUAAACAACACAAUGUCGUCUUUUGUUGACUAGUGCCUAUAUAAUCGGAUGAAAACCAUUUGUCCAAAUUUGUACUAUCUUUUGUACUAUCUUUCCCCCCCUGUGGCCCUGUGCAUGCCCAGUUUCAUGUGUGAUUUUUGAUAGUAGCUUUUAUUUAGGCACCUUUUUGGGGAGAUCAAUAUUUGUUUUGUUCGUUUGUGUGCAGUGCGUUUCAGAGCCAGCCAUAGGUGCUAAGGAAUUGUAGGAAUUGAUGUAGGCUAAUUUUUAAGCUAAACUAAAACAAAUGCCUAAAAUCCACUUACUAGUACAACUAAUUGAAAGCAAUAACUGAAGCUAGUGAGCCUUAACCAAAUCGUUUCGAUUCUACGAGUAUUUACUGCCCCUUUUUGGAUAAAUAAACGAAAUAAACAAACUCACUUACAUAGAUGAGAAUAGUAUGUAGAAAGCAUCCAAAUCCAAAGCCCUUAGUCCCUGAAACGCACUGCAGGAAGUGUAUUUGAUCUGUCUGCACAUAGAAAACGAAACCAGCUUAGAGUCAAUUAUGUAGGUAGAAAAGAAAUCGUAAAUUGUGAGCAUUUUGUUUGUUUCGCAGCUGACACCUGUUGGCUUAUCAGGCCCCAACCCGACCAUAAACCGCGCUCAGAAAAACGCAGAGAGACAGGCCCGCGUGUGUUUGCAAUAGAAAUGAUACGAGUAUAUCUUAGCUGGCUGCUGCCUUUUCCGAUGGACGAUGGUGUCUGCUUGUGAGAUUCAAAAUGUAUUUAGUUUUUUAGUUAAAUGCAUAUACUUAUGGUAUAUAAAUUACUAUAUAGAAACUGAUACUUAUAUUAGUAAAUACACCUAGAGACUUUGUGCACGAGGCAUCGCUAAUUCGAACACUGUUAUGGAACACUCGCAUCAAUUUAUUCACUGAUUGUACAUUUAUCAAGGAAAUAUAUACACCAGACAUUUUUGUAGUUUGA